rnacentral:rRNA from 1 species
AUUGAACGCUGGCGGCAGGCCUAACACAUGCAAGUCGAGCGGUAGAGAGAAGCUUGCUUCUCUUGAGAGCGGCGGACGGGUGAGUAAUGCCUAGGAAUCUGCCUGGUAGUGGGGGAUAACGUUCGGAAACGGACGCUAAUACCGCAUACGUCCUACGGGAGAAAGCAGGGGACCUUCGGGCCUUGCGCUAUCAGAUGAGCCUAGGUCGGAUUAGCUAGUUGGUGGGGUAAUGGCUCACCAAGGCGACGAUCCGUAACUGGUCUGAGAGGAUGAUCAGUCACACUGGAACUGAGACACGGUCCAGACUCCUACGGGAGGCAGCAGUGGGGAAUAUUGGACAAUGGGCGAAAGCCUGAUCCAGCCAAGCCGCGUGUGUGAAGAAGGUCUUCGGAUUGUAAAGCACUUUAAGUUGGGAGGAAGGGCAGUAAAUUAAUACUUUGCUGUUUUGACGUUACCGACAGAAUAAGCACCGGCUAACUCUGUG